rnacentral:rRNA from 1 species
CCUACGUGUGGCAGCAGUGGGGAAUAUUGGACAAUGGGCGAAAGCCUGAUCCAGCCAUGCCGCGUGUGUGAAGAAGGCCUUCGGGUUGUAAAGCACUUUCAGUGGGGAAGAAAGCCUUGGGGCUAAUACCCUCGAGGAAGGACAUCACCCACAGAAGAAGCACCGGCUAACUCCGUGCCAGCAGCCGCGGUAAUACGGAGGGUGCGAGCGUUAAUCGGAAUUACUGGGCGUAAAGCGCGCGUAGGCGGUCUGAUAAGCCGGUUGUGAAAGCCCCGGGCUCAACCUGGGAACGGCAUCCGGAACUGGCAGGCUAGAGUGCAGGAGAGGAAGGUAGAAUUCCCGGUGUAGCGGUGAAAUGCGUAGAGAUCGGGAGGAAUACCAGUGGCGAAGGCGGCCUCCUGGACUGACACUGACGCUGAGGUGCGAAAGCGUGGGUAGCAAACAGGAUUAGAUACCCGGGUAGUC